rnacentral:rRNA from 1 species
UCUGGUUGAUCCUGCCAGUAGUCAUAUGCUUGUCUCAGAGAUUAAGCCAUGCAUGUCUAAGUACAUACCUUUAAACGGUGAAACCGCGAAUGGCUCAUUAAAUCAGCUAUGGUUCCUUGGAUCGUACAUACUACAUGGAUAACUGUAGUAAUUCUAGAGCUAAUACAUGCCACUAUGCCCUGACCCGCGAGGGAACGGGUGGAUUUAUUAGAACAGAACCAACCGGGGGCGGCUUCGGUCGUCCCUGUUGCAUUCUGUGAUGACUCUGGAUAACUUCACUGAUCGCAGUCGGCCUUGUGUCGGCGACGGAUCUUUCAAAUGUCUGCCCUAUCAAUUUUCGAUGGUAGGUGACCUGCCUACCAUGGUGCUAACGGGUAACGGGGAAUCAGGGUUCGAUUCCGGAGAGGGAGCCUGAGAAACGGCUACCACUUCCAAGGAAGGCAGCAGGCACGCAAAUUACCCAAUCCCGGCACGGGGAGGUAGUGACGAAAAAUACGGAUACGGGACUCACUAGAGGCUCCGUAAUUCGAAUGAGUACAAUUUAAAUCCUUUAACGAGGAUCAACUGGAGGGCAAGUCUGGUGCCAGCAGCCGCGGUAACUCCAGCUCCAGAANUGGGAUGGCUGCUCGCUCCUUAGCGGAGGGCUGGUUCUUCGGGGCUGGUCAUUCGUUCUCGAGUGUGGCGUGCCUCUCUUGAGCUGAUUAAUCCGAUUGGCUUGUCCUGUAAGCCGGGCGACCAGGUGCAGGUUGCUUUGGUGGUGCAUGAUCGAUAUUCGCUAGCAGGAAACUGCUGUAUGAAUGGGAAUGUGACGCCCGGGGCAACGUCUCUUCCUGUGAAAACAUGUGGUGGUGCGCAUGUGAAGCUAACGCUCCGUGAAACCGCGACACGGUCCAGCGGCUAGCUCGUUGAUUUUGAUCCUGUGCCCCGACGGCUUCGGCUGAACGGGUUGAAGACUGUGAAUAAUCUGGUUGAUCCUGCCAUUAGUCAUAUGCUUGUCUCAGAGAUUCAGCCAUGCAUAUCUAGGUACAUACCUUUAAACGGUGAAUCCGCGAAUGGCUUACUUAACCCUGUUUCGCACCUGGUAUUUGUAUAUAUCUCAAUUACUUGCGAGCCCUGUGGGAUUGAUGAUAAUUUGCUUGGCUGACUUUCCUUCGGAUUCCACCUUUCACUCACGGAUCUCAAGUCACUAGAUCAACCCUGUACACGUAGGCUCCGCACUCGAGUUUCACUCUUGUUAGGGUGGAUGGCACUGGGGAGGCGCAGCGGAAACAGACGCUUUUCAGGUGAAAAACCUGAGUUCAAACCUUGGGUGCGGAGGUGGAUCAUUAUCAUCAUCGUACUGCGGUAAGCAGCAGGGUGAGCUACACUGACCACUGCCUUUCUCACCAUCUUGCAAGUUGAAUUAGAAAGUAUGAGUAUGAAAGAUGGACGGGGAAUGGACCUACAGGGGUGGAAAAUGGAAAGAAUGCCCUAGUAGCCAACAAACGGAAUACAUCAUCUAACUGUACAAACGCACAUCGAUCACUC